GGUGUUGUGGCUCAGUGAUAGAGUGCUCACCUAGCAUGUGCAGGACACUGGGUUCGAUCCUCAGCAUCACAU
rnacentral:tRNA from 1 species